AUUAGUCUGGUCAUUAAAUGCCUACGCCUUUUUGGACGGUGAGAAGUGUCAUUUUAAGGCCUUUUACUGAUCAUCUUCUUCAUUUCUUCUCCAUUUCAACUUUGAGAGCUUGCUACUUCAUCGCCCUCUUUUUUUUGUUAUUCGUGAUUUCUUUGGGCUACCGCUGUCGCUCGCCGUAAUUUCUCCUUUCGUUGGGGAUUUACUCAUCUUCUAAAGCAUAUGACUAGGUGGAGAAGCUGUCGGACUAGGUUAAGGUGUUUCGUGCUUCCAUCGUGAUGAAGGAUAAGGAGGUCACCUCCUUGAUCGAGCAGUUGGUAUUUUAAUGGUUGAGAAUAAUUGUCUAUUUUGAAGCUCAUGUUGCAAUGGUGGUAGAGGCUCAUAGACUCGAGCAAUCCCAUUGGCUGGAUAGGAAGAAAGAACUACUUGGUCAUCUCAACAGUGUUCGGUCGAAUCUAGAUUUUGCUCGAGCUCAUCCUCAAAAGGGAGAUGCAGCCUUACAUUGAAACUGUGUGAUGAGGGAAGAGGCCAUCCUUACGGGAUCAGCGGCCCGUUAGGGAGAGCGAAGAAGUGGAAACAGUCAAGACUUGAAUGCUUGCAUAUAUGAGUUUUGUUUUCUACUUCUGUAAAUUCUCUUUGAAUGAAUGGUCUUCUUUCACAUCCGGUGUACUUGCUUGUGACCAUGCUUUGUGUUUUACCGAGCGACAAAGAUCGGUUUUUUCUUUGCGCUAACCCAAGGUUGGUUUUUUUUGCCGAUCAGUA